rnacentral:rRNA from 1 species
AACGAACGCUGGCGGCAGGCCUAACACAUGCAAGUCGAGCGAGGACUUCGGUUCUAGCGGCGGACGGGUGAGUAACGCGUGGGAAUGUGCCCUUCUCUACGGAAUAGCCCUGGGAAACUGGGAGUAAUACCGUAUACGCCCUAUUGGGGAAAGAUUUAUCGGAGAAGGAUCAGCCCGCGUUGGAUUAGGUAGUUGGUGGGGUAAUGGCCUAGCAAGCCGACGAUCCAUAGCUGGUUUGAGAGGAUGAUCAGCCACACUGGGACUGAGACACGGCCCAGACCCCUACGGGAGGGAGCAGUGGGGAAUCUUAGACAAUGGGGGCAACCCUGAUCUAGCCAUGCCGCGUGAGUGAUGAAGGCCUUAGGGUUGUAAAGCUCUUUCAGCUGGGAAGAUAAUGACGGUACCAGCAGAAGAAGCCCCGGCUAACUCCGUG